GAAAGGAUAGAAGGAGGGAGGGAGGAGGAGUGGAGAGAUUGAGCGUAACAAGCAAGCUCACAUAAAGCCGGUCUCAUUCUUUUUUCCUCCCCUCUCUCCCUCCCUCCCUCUCCAUGUCUCUCCCUCUCU